UUAUUCUUUCGGGGUUUUGUGUAAGUCAAAAUCGGUAGUAAACUCUACGAGUUGCGUAAGCAACAUGAGUCUUUGAAACUAAGACAGCGACCGUAAAGUCGGGAUGAAAGAAAGAAUAU
rnacentral:ncRNA from 2 species